rnacentral:rRNA from 1 species
UACGUAGGUCCCGAGCGUUGUCCGGAUUUAUUGGGCGUAAAGCGAGCGCAGGUGGUUUAUUUAGUCUGGUGUAAAAGGCAGUGGCUCAACCAUUGUAUGCAUUGGAAACUGGUAGACUUGAGUGCAGGAGAGGAGAGUGGAAUUCCAUGUGUAGCGGUGAAAUGCGUAGAUAUAUGGAGGAACACCGGUGGCGAAAGCGGCUCUCUGGCCUGUAACUGACACUGAGGCUCGAAAGCGUGGGGAGCAAACAGG